UACGGGGGGAGCAAGCGUUGUUCGGAUUUACUGGGCGUAAAGGGCGCGUAGGCGGUCAGCACAAGUCAGUUGUGAAAUCUCCGGGCUUAACUCGGAACGGUCAACUGAUACUGCGCGGCUAGAGUGCAGAAGGGGCAACUGGAAUUCUCGGUGUAGCGGUGAAAUGCGUAGAUAUCGAGAGGAACACCUGCGGCGAAGGCGGGUUGCUGGGCUGACACUGACGCUGAUGCGCGAAAGCCAGGGGAGGCGAACGGG
rnacentral:rRNA from 1 species